UACGAAGGGGGCUAGCGUUGCUCGGAAUCACUGGGCGUAAGGGUGCGUAGGCGGGUCUUUUAAGUCAGGGGUGAAAUCCUGGAGCUCAACUCCAGAACUGCCUUUGAUACUGAGGAUCUUGAGUUCGGGAGAGGUGAGUGGAACUGCGAGUGUAGAGGUGAAAUUCGUAGAUAUUCGCAAGAACACCAGUGGCGAAGGCGGCUCACUGGCCCGAUACUGACGCUGAGGCACGAAAGCGUGGGAGCA
rnacentral:rRNA from 1 species